rfam:Nocardia nova SH22a, complete genome.
GUCGGUCUUCGGUAGUGGCCUUUCGACGAGAGUUGUCGGCGGGCUUCGAUCGAUGACCGCC